UAAACUUGUUGUUAAAAUGAAGUUAAUGUAAUGUUCACAAACAGUAGAGUUAAUGAGUUUUUCCAUUAACAAGAAUUUCUUAAAAUAAUAAUGUAUGGAUAUCAUUUGGAAAGUGACAUGAAAUAUUGUUAAAAAGUGAUGCAUACAAGUGUUUCAGAAGUCUGUCUAGGAAUAGAACAACAACUGAAGCUGACCAGUUGAUGGAAGAUACUGCAGAGUUUGGCAGGGAAAUAACCCAAGACAGCAAAGCGGCUCUUUUGGCGCAUUUACCAAGAGGACUAACAUGGCCACAAAUUCAUGAGAUCAUGCAGGAGCCGUACAGUAUAACAGCAGUACAAGUUCUAUAAAAGAUCCACGACCUACUGAAGCCCAGCUAAUUAACAAAAAAGUUUUUAAAAACUGUAAUUUUAUCCCACAUGGGUACUUAUAAUUUACUAAGCUGCC